UACAGAGGUCUCAAGCGUUGUUCGGAUUCAUUGGGCGUAAAGGGUGCGUAGGCGGCGCGGUAAGUCGGGUGUGAAAUCUCGGAGCUUAACUCCGAAACUGCAUUCGAUACUGCCGUGCUUGAGGACUGGAGAGGAGACUGGAAUUUACGGUGUAGCGGUGAAAUGCGUAGAGAUCAUGAGGAAGACCAGUGGCGAAGGCGAAUCUCUGGACAGUUACUGACACUGAGGCACGAAGGCCAGGGGAGCAAACGGG
rnacentral:rRNA from 1 species